GACGAACGCUGGCGGCGUGCUUAACACAUGCAAGUCGAACGAGUGGCGAACGGGUGAGUAACACGUGAGUAACCUGCCCCUUCUUCUGGAUAACUGCUUGAAAGGGUAGCUAAUACGGGAUAGUGGGGGAUGGGCUCGCGGCCUAUCAGCUUGUUGGUGGGGUGAUGGCCUACCAAGGCGGUGACGGGUAGCCGGCCUGGGAGGGUGGACGGCCACAGUGGGACUGAGACACGGCCCAGAGUCCUACGGGAGGCAGCAGUGGGGAAUAUUGCACAAUGGGCGCAAGCCGGAUGCAGCGACGCCGCGUGAGGGAUGGGGGCCUUCGGGUUGUAAACCUCUUUCGCUAUCGAACGGGUAGGUGGAGAAGAAGCGCCGGCUAACUACGUGCCAGCAGCCGCGGUAAUAC
rnacentral:rRNA from 1 species